rnacentral:rRNA from 1 species
AGCCUUGCCGCGUGAGUGAUGAAGGCCUUCGGGUUGUAAAGCUCUUUCAGAUGUGAAGAUAAUGACGGUAGCAUCAGAAGAAGCUCCGGCUAACUCCGUGCCAGCAGCCGCGGUAAUACGGAGGGAGCGAGCGUUGUUCGGAAUUACUGGGCGUAAAGCGUAUGUAGGCGGUUUUGUAAGACAGAUGUGAAAUCCCAGAGCUUAACUUUGGAACUGCAUUUGUGACUGCAAGACUUGAGGAUCGGAGAGGUUGGCGGAAUUCCAAGUGUAGAGGUGAAAUUCGCAGAUAUUUGGAGGAACACCGAUGGCGUAAGCAGCCAACUGGACGAUUACUGACGCUGAGAUACGAAAGCGUGGGGAGCAAACAGGAUUAGAUACCCUGGUAGUCCACGCCGUAAACGAUGUCAACUAGCCGUUGGGUCCCUUGAGGACUUAGUGGCGCAGCUAACGCAAUAAGUUGACCGCCUGGGGAGUACGGCCGCAAGGUUAAAACUCAAAUGAAUUGACGGGGGCCCGCACAAGCGGCGGAGCAUGUGGAUUAAUUCGAUGCAACGCGAAGAACCUUACCAAGGCUUGACAUAU